GUUUCAGCAGCCGCGGUAAGACAGAGGGUGCAAACGUUGUUCGGAAUUACUGGGCGUAAAGCGUGUGUAGGCGGCCACGUAAGUCGGAUGUGAAAGCCCCGGGCUCAACCCGGGAAGUGCACUCGAUACUGCGUGGCUUGAGUACUGGAGAGGUUGGUGGAAUUCUCGGUGUAGAGGUGAAAUUCGUAGAUAUCGAGAGGAACACCGGUGGCGAAGGCGGCCAACUGGACAGAUACUGACGCUGAGACACGAAAGCGUGGGUAGCAAACAGGAUUAGAAACCCGAGUAGUCC
rnacentral:rRNA from 1 species